AGAUUAAGUUAUUAAGGGCGCACGGUGGAUGCCUUGGCACUAGAAGCCGAUGAAGGACGUUACUAACGACGAUAUGCUUUGGGUAGCUGUAAGUAAGCGUUGAUCCAGAGAUUUCCGAAUGGGGGAACCCAGCAUGAGUUAUGUCAUGUUAUCGACAUGUGAAUUCAUAGCAUGUCAGAAGGCAGACCCGGAGAACUGAAACAUCUUAGUACCCGGAGGAAGAGAAAGAAAAAUCGAUUCCCUGAGUAGCGGCGAGCGAAACGGGAAGAGCCCAAACCAACAAGCUUGCUUGUUGGGGUUGUAGGACACUCUAUACGGAGUUACAAAAGAACAUGUUAGACGAAUCAUCUGGAAAGAUGAAUCAAAGAAGGUAAUAAUCCUGUAGUCGAAAACAUAUUCUCUCUUGAGUGGAUCCUGAGUACGACGGAGCACGUGAAAUUCCGUCGGAAUCUGGGAGGACCAUCUCCUAAGGCUAAAUACUCUCUAGUGACCGAUAGUGAACCAGUACCGUGAGGGAAAGGUGAAAAGUACCCCGGAAGGGGAGUGAAAGAGAACUUGAAACCGUGUGCUUACAAGUAGUCAGAGCCCGUUAAUGGGUGAUGGCGUGCCUUUUGUAGAAUGAACCGGCGAGUUACGAUCUGAUGCAAGGUUAAGCAGCAAAUGUGGAGCCGCAGCGAAAGCGAGUCUGAAUAGGGCGUUGAGUAUUUGGUCGUAGACCCGAAACCAGGUGAUCUACCCUUGGUCAGGUUGAAGUUCAGGUAACACUGAAUGGAGGACCGAACCGACUUACGUUGAAAAGUGAGCGGAUGAACUGAGGGUAGCGGAGAAAUUCCAAUCGAACUUGGAGAUAGCUGGUUCUCUCCGAAAUAGCUUUAGGGCUAGCCUCAAGUGAUGAUUAUUGGAGGUAGAGCACUGUUUGGACGAGGGGCCCCUCUCGGGUUACCGAAUUCAGACAAACUCCGAAUGCCAAUUAAUUUAACUUGGGAGUCAGAACAUGGGUGAUAAGGUCCGUGUUCGAAAGGGAAACAGCCCAGACCACCAGCUAAGGUCCCAAAAUAUAUGUUAAGUGGAAAAGGAUGUGGCGUUGCCCAGACAACUAGGAUGUUGGCUUAGAAGCAGCCAUCAUUUAAAGAGUGCGUAAUAGCUCACUAGUCGAGUGACACUGCGCCGAAAAUGUACCGGGGCUAAACAUAUUACCGAAGCUGUGGAUUGUCCUUUGGACAAUGGUAGGAGAGCGUUCUAA
rnacentral:rRNA from 1 species